GAUGGAGGCCGCUGUGGCAGGAGGAGUGGACCUGCACCGACAGCAUGCCGUGUAAGGAAGCGUGCUGCCUUCAAGUGUCCCUGCUGCAGGGAGGACACGUCAGUCCACUGGUCCAAAGCUGCCCCGAAGAGGAGGAGGUCCUCCAACAUUCAACCAGCAGUAGAAAAGGCAGCCGUUCCUCCCUCAGCCAUCCCACAUCACACCCUCCCAGUGGCAUCACUCGUCCCGCGCGUCCCACCACCCCGCGCUUGUACUCCGCUGGAGGCAGUAAGCAUCCACGGCCUCACAGUGCAGCAACACCAGCGGUUAUAUCACCAGGUGGUGGAUGACAAACUGAGGUUCAAGAAUGGCCAACCACGUCCGUACAGCCUUGAUCUGGGACGUGUGAUCAAGCAAAAGCUGUGGGAACAUCAGUCAAGCCCCACCUUUUCUGAAACUGUGGAUGAGAAC